UACGUAGGGUGCGAGCGUUGUCCGGAUUUAUUGGGCGUAAAGAGCUCGUAGGCGGCUUGUCGCGUCGGAUGUGAAAGCCCGGGGCUUAACUCCGGGUCUGCAUUCGAUACGGGCAGGCUAGAGUGUGGUAGGGGAGAUCGGAAUUCCUGGUGUAGCGGUGGAAUGCGUAGAGAUCCGGAAGAACACCGGAGGCGAAGGCGGCUUGCUGGGCUUGGUCUGACGCUGAGGCGCGAAAGCGUGGGGAGCGAACAGG
rnacentral:rRNA from 1 species